GUUUGUGGGAACUAAUUUAUUUUUAUGGUGAGAAUAAAAAUACCCACAAAUAUAAACAAAUAUAUACAUGCGUUCUUACUGGAUUAAUACAAUUGGUUGGUCAAGAAGCAGCCAUUGGGGCCUGGAGAGAUGGCAAGGCCCACAGGAGGAUCUGAGGUAGAAUUCCAAGCAUCUAUGUAAAAUUCCAGCAGUGGGAUAAUUUCCUGAUACAGAAGCCAGGGAACAUAUAUUUAAUUUAAACAAAGAAGCAGAUACCCGGGGUUUUGAAAGUCCGGAGUAACAUUUACAUUAAUGGAAAGUACUACUUGAACAUGGAAGCACUAACGUGUGGGUAAGGAAUAGUCAAGAUGUCUGCCAAGAGAGAUUCUAGCUGCUUUGCUCACUUUCUUUGCCAAAUCGUCCUCAAAGAGGUUCUUUUUGACUAAAGGCUUCCUUUGAGCCCUCAUCCAGUGGCUGAUGGAAGCCGAGGCAGACACCCACAGAUUCACACUGAACUGAACUCUGGAACUUAGUUGCAGAGAGAGAGGAAUGAAGAUCAAAGGGGUCAGUACCAGGCGGUGAAACCCACAGGAACAGCUGGCCUGUACAGGUGGAGCACAUGGACCCCAGACUGCUGUCUGGGUGGCCAGUACAGGACUGAUCCAGACCCCUGAACAUGGAUGUCAAUUAGGAG
rnacentral:lncRNA from 1 species